CCUACGGGUGGCUGCAGUAGGGAAUCUUCCUCAAUGGGGGAAACUCUGAAGCAGCAACGCCGCGUGGAGGAUGAAGGUUUUAGGAUCGUAAACUUCUUUUGUUAGAGAAGAUUAAGACGGUAUCUAACUAAUAAGCACCGGCUAACUCCUUGCCAGCAGCCGCGGUAAAACGGAGGGGGCGAACGUUAGGCGGAAUUACUGGGGGUAAAGCGCUCGUAGGCGGUAUGUCAAGUCAAGGGUGAAAGCCCUGCGCUCAACGUGGGAACUGCAUUUGAAACUGGCAAACUGGCGUGUGUGAGAGGAGAGUGGAAUUCCAGGUGUAGGAGUGAAAUCCGUAGAUAUCUGGAGGAACAUCAGUGGCGAAGGCGACUAUCUGGCACAUAACUGACGCUGAGGAGCGAAAGCGUGGGUAGCAAACAGGAUUAGAUACCCCAGUAGUC
rnacentral:rRNA from 1 species